rnacentral:rRNA from 1 species
CACGUAGGGGGCAAGCGUUGUCCGGAUUUAUUGGGCGUAAAGAGCGUGUAGGCGGUUUGGUAGGUCCGUUGUGAAAACUCGAGGCUCAACCUCGAGACGCCGGCGGAAACCAUCAGGCUAGAGUCCGGAAGAGGAGAGUGGAAUUCCUGGUGUAGCGGUGAAAUGCGCAGAUAUCAGGAAGAACACCCGUGGCUAAGGCGGCUCUCUAGUACGGUACUGACGCUGAGACGCGAAAGCGUGGGGAGCAAACAGG